UCACAAUUAUGUUGGAAUUUAUCAUAUAAUAGUAAUGGUUUUCAACAAGUUAUAAUCUUUCUCAUUCCUAAUUACUCUAUUGUUUGCAUUUUAGUUAAUGGAUUCCCAAAUGCAAGAAGACUCUUUCUUCACAAAUCUCUUAUAUGAGGAGUGUUGCCUUGAUAAUGAAUUGAUGGGAUCUCCAAAUCUAAUAAGUCAAAUGUCUCCGUCUCAAGUUGAAAUAGAGUCUAGUGCUAAGAAAUCAUGGCGUAGCAACUUCACAAUAAAAGAAGAUAAUCUCCUUGUAUUAGCGUGGCUAAAUACUAGUUUAGAUCCGGUGAAAGGAAAUGAGCAGGAACACAAGACAUAUUGGUGGAGAAUUUGGGAGUAUUUCCAAGAGAAUAAGACAUUCGUUUCUGAAUGUACUGAGGUAUCUCUAACGCAUCGAUGGUCAGCAAUUCGUACAAGUACAAAAAAGUUUCUGAGCUAACGCAUGAAAGUGGAUUGAAUGAGCAAGUCAAGAUUAUUAAGGCGAAACUUAUGUUUCAAGAAUUUGAGAAAACUUUAUUUCAGUUUGAACAUU